rnacentral:rRNA from 1 species
GACGAACGCUGGCGGCGUGCCUAAUACAUGCAAGUAGAACGCAGUUGCGAACGGGUGAGUAACGCGUAGGUAACUGCCUGGUAGCGGGGGAGAACUAUUGGAAAAGAUAGCUAAUACCGCAUACUACCAGAUGGACCUGCGUUGUAUUAGCUAGUUGGUGAGGUAACGGCGCACCAAGGCAACGAUACAUAACCGACCUGGGAGGGGGAUCGGCCACAACUGGACUGGGACACGGCCCAGGCUCCUACUGGUGGCAGCAGUAGGGAAGCUUCGGCCAUGGGGGGAACCCUGACCGAGCAACGCCGCGUGAGUGCAGAAGGUUUUCGGAUCGUAAAGCUCUGUUGUUAAGGAAGCGGUACUUAACCAGAAAGGGACGGCUAACUACGUGCCAGCAGCCGCGGUAAUAC